AAUACCUUUCAUGGUCAAGAUGAGUGUGUCUUCCAAGCCGGGAGCAUAUUCGCUUUGUGGGUUCAGGCUCACGAGUUCAGCAGCAGGUUUCGAUUCUAUGUAUUCCUUGGUAAUGUGAGGCCUUGGAGUGACUUUGUAGGUUGGAUCACGAAUCCUCUUUAGUGUGUAAGCUUGGCAGACAUUUAAAGUAGUGAUAUAGGAAUCACGCAGCCUGAGUCGUUGUUUUAAGGAGGGAUCGUUCUCCAGAAGUUCCUUGUGUCCAGCAACCUUAAGCAGGAGGCUCUUUGUCUCCUCAUAGUCAGACCUCAAAAGCUCACCGAAGGACCACAAAUCUUCAGAAACCAGAAGCUUGUCGUAUAAAGCAGCAAUGCCGGGGUCUCCCUUAGCAAACACCAUCUCAAUCAAAUCAGCAGUAACUCUAAAAAAUGGCCAUUUUUUGUGCAUGUCCCGCAGCAUAUUGAGGUUUUUUUUAUCCUUGUUAAGUGCAUACUUAAAUGCUGCCCCAAAGCCAAG
rnacentral:misc_RNA from 1 species